GUCUACAGCCAUACCACCCUGAACGUGCCCAAUCUCACCUGAUCUCGGAAGCUAAACAGGGUCGGGUCUGGUUAGUACUUGGAUGGGAGAGGAACCAGAUGAGUAAAGA
rnacentral:rRNA from 1 species